UGUAUGCAUGCGUGAUUAAAACGCUUUGGAUAAAAGCGUCUGCUAAAUGGCCUAUA
rfam:Salmo salar isolate Sally breed double haploid chromosome ssa29, whole genome shotgun sequence.